rnacentral:rRNA from 1 species
AGGACGAACGCUGGCGGCGUGCUUAACACAUGCAAGUCGAGCGGUAAGGCCUUUCGGGGUACACGAGCGGCGAACGGGUGAGUAACACGUGGGUGAUCUGCCCUGCACUUCGGGAUAAGCCUGGGGAAACUGGGUCUAAUACCGGAUAUGACCUCCUAUCGCAUGGUGGGUGGUGGAAAGAUUUAUCGGUGCAGGAUGGGCCCGCGGCCUAUCAGCUUGGUUGGUGGGUAAUGGCCUACCAAGGCGACGACGGGUAGCCGACCUGAGAGGGUGACCGGCACACUGGGACUGAGACACGGCCCAGACUCCUACGGGAGGCAGCAGGUGGGAAUAUGCACAAUGGGACGAAAGCCUGAAUGCACGCGACGCCGCGUGA